rnacentral:lncRNA from 1 species
UUGCCCUGCGCUAAAGGAAAGAAUGGAGAAAGAAACUUAUAUAACUGAGUAACCUCACACCUCACUGCUGACUUGAAGCUUGAACAUAGAAUCUCGUAACCCCCAAGCGAAAAGUAAGCUAAUGCACCAGCCGCUCAAGACCCUAAGGGAAGGAAACUACAAGGAAAGAGCCCUUUUAUAUACUUCAAAGGUACUUAGCGCACCCAUAACAUAGUACUUAGCUAGGCACCCGAAGAAAAUAGACUUAAGCAAAUGGGCACCCCGAAAGCUCCGGUGAUCCUAACAGACUAAAAACACGUGUUAGCAAAACAGACUUCAAAAGAAAAUAAGAGAGUCAAAAUAACGAUUGGUCCCUAUUCCUAUAGAGAGUUGUCAAUAAGGCGGGAAAGAAGUCAUAUUAGUAUUGGGAACAGUGCUGAAGAAGAGAAAAGAAAGGACAGAAAGAAUAGGACACAAGAAUCAGCAAUAGAACAUGAUAGAAGAUGUAACGGAGCAAGAAGACAAAGAGACUCAGAACUUGCAGUGACACCCGAAAGAAAAGAAUUCAUUAUCACGAGUAGCCACUCAUUACACACAAGAAAGAGUUGAGGUUUCAGCCCACCGAAAGUAGGAUAUAACUGUCUUCCCUGCUUUCCUCGGGCAUGAGAAGUGACUAAGGGACUUGCCAUGGGUAGGAGUGAAACGGGGGCACAGUCCGUUGUUCUCUAUCAAUUGAUUCGUUUUCUGACUCUAACUGCCUUAAAGCUUGAGAGACCGAGAACCCACUUUGGAUCUCUAACCCCGUCUAUUUGACUUCCUGCUUCACUUGGUAAAUAAAGCCGCUUGCCUUGAUCAAUAACAAUAAGCUUUACUUAUUGCCUGCUAUCUUGCCUAAGUCUCUUUCCCUUUUGAUCACUUCCUGAAGUAAGAUAAUGCUUCCAAACUUUUCCGCUGGCUUUCUUUCUAAUGGUACAGCCCAGAUAGCCUCCUCCUGCUCUCGUCUAUAAUCAACUGCUUUCUAGUCUUAUGGUCCAGAGGCAGAUCGUGCAAAAGAGAAAUCCCUUAUGUAUGGGCUCGCUUGGAGAAGGCACUGGCGCCCAAGGCAUUAGAUUAGGAUUGGACGGAGACUUUAUUACUGUACCGUAAGAGGUAACAGGCUAAGAAGAGUCGUUCCAGGGAAAUGAAAGAAAAAGGGCCUCGAUGCUCUUAGAAAGGGAUCCUUAGGAAUGAUCACAUUGCAGGAACGAAAGUCGCUGGAGAAUGAAAAGAAGGUGCCAUUCAAUUAGACUAGAGCUUUUGCUCGAGCUCGAGUAACGUGGGAUAUCCUAUCCUGUCUUAAAGACCGAAGGACUCCGUAAACCUAAACCCAAAGUCAAAGAAAAAGAACUUGAGUGAACGGGAUCUUUCCACAGCUUUCUCACUGUCUUUCAAAGAGUCAGGCUAAUUCUAAGGAUUGCUCACUGGUAAACUCGCUGAAACAAUAGAUUCCAAAAGAGAUUCCAAAAAGAGAAGACAUAACUCCAAGGAAAGCUACUCCAAAUCCUCGUACUAGACAAAAAAUCACCCACUGAGGAGAAAGAAAGGAAACAAGAAAAGGCGGGUAGGAAGAAUCCUUAUCUUUGGAGCCAAGAGCAAGAAUGGAAUACUUCGUUACCACUUAAGCAUACGUGGUCAAUGAAGGGGCAUGCUCUGGGAAGGCGGAUUCCUUAGUGUUCCUUAAUUGCAUCUUGAAUCUGAAUCCAAAUAAAAGCACUUACCAAACAAACCAACAACUGCUUUGAAAGAAUGUUCUGAUUUGAGCACUUUCCCACAGAUAUAGAAAUAGAAACAGAUAUACUAGAAACGAAAUAUCUUAUGUCAAUGACACCAAAGGGAUAUUAAAUGAAUGGAAUUGGGAUAUAGAUGGAAUAUAAUGAAAUAGAGCCACUACGAAGAAGUAACGGGGGUGACUAAGGAAACCUCGAGUUCAUAUUGGCCAUGGGUUUAGAACGGGAAUGGAACUCUAUGAGAUCUAAUCUCCCUAAGUUCCUCAAUAGCUCAGUGGUAGAGCGGUCGGCAGUUAACCGACUCAUCGUAGGUUCGAAUCGGGGAUAUUUGAUUCAUUCCGAAUUCCAGAAUGCAGAAUGCCCAGAAUGAAAGGGUGAGCUUUGACCGUUAAGAGUAGCGUUUCUAUUGCAUUCUAUCUCAUCGUAGCCCAUUCUGUUCUGCGCCUUCGAGAAAGUGAAAACAAGAGAAGAGAAGGGAGAGUCUCUUAGCUAGCCGAAAGGAAGAAAGCAGACCCAGACGAAAAGCGGUUUGAUUGACCCUUCUCUCUACAUUGAAGCUGGCCUUCGCCUUCCUCUUGUCAUUGCUACUCAAUAAGACAGUACAGUCCCUACCUCUGUCAGCGAGCUCGCUCAAAAGAAGGAUUGUUAGGUUGUGUAACUGCUAGGAUAAGCAAGCCCAUCUCUUUCCAUGCAAGUAAGAGUGCUAAACCUAACCUAAACCCACGUAGUGGGACUGAUGUUACACGUCUUAAGCGCAUUCAGUUGGAUAAAAAAGGACAUCCCUAUCCUCUGAUUUAGGCUCUAAAGAAACACAGAACUAGUCAUUUUGUGUCCCAGUAUAGACAUCUUUUUCAAGCCAGUCAAAAUACCUCCAUCUCCAUCUAACGAUGAGACCUUCAGUCCUUACCUAUUGGAAAAGUAGCUUGAUAGCAGUCCCGUUUCCUCCAGUUCCUUUUCUCUUUUUGGUUGAGGGGAAAGCCCUAUUAAUAAUUGCGACAAGACCUUUCCAGGCAUUUCCUUAAAUCUUCUCCACCAGCGAGUUAGAGUUUCCCUACCUGUUGCCAGCUAUCUAGUGAAAGUAUAAAUUAUGCCUCUUUGAAGGUAGACUCGGCGGUUUUCUAGCCAGCUAGGACUAGAGCAAAGCAAGGUAAGCCUGAGGUCAAUCCAUAAAGCCGGUAAGAGAGUUUCAACUUAUAAUAAGCAAACUUCAAACACUUAAUGGACUCCAUUUUGUCUUUUCCAGCUUAUCCAAUUUAGUCUAUUUUGUCAGAAAAAGAAAGUGCUUUUGGGGAAUCACUCAACCUUUCGAUCAAGACUUUAGGGCAUUGCUUCCUUUCACCGAGUGUGGGCACGAUCCCAUCUCUGGUAUCCCUUCCUCUAGUUGGUUUACUUGGCUCCCCAGACUUAUUCCUUCUAGGGCGAGUAACCAGGCGUAGCGGCAUUCUUUUCUUUACUAAAAGCAUAUUUCUCUGAGUUGGCUGUUGCAUUGAAAACUCUUUAAGCGGGGAAGGAAUGAUAACCAAAUCCUCAGCAAAAGAGAAAAGUGAGCAAUGGAAGAAAGAAACGGCCCUUCGAAGCGUGAAAAAGAAAUGCUGUAAAUGAGAUGACCCCCGCUUUCCAUUAUUGCUAGAGGCGAGGGGCAACAACUAGUCCGGUUCGACUGAUGAGGAAAAGCAGAGGCUUUCAGCACCUUGCUUUCAAAGAUCAAUCUGUUGCGGGCCUGACAAAAACAAGAGACCAGCAAUGAGAGUAAUUCUCAGGCCUCAUCCUUCCCGAGACGUUGUUAUGAGUAAAUAUAGAAUUCCUUAAGGGUAGGAUUCACCAUCCGCUAGACAUAGCACAUAAGCCAACUGUUGUAUAAAUUGGAUAGUACAGGAACCUUUCUACCUAUUUAAUCAAAAAGGGCCUUAAACACGGGGACACAGGUUGCUCCUUAAGCAUGUCCAGGCCCAGGAAGGAAGCUUUCAGACCAUGAGCAUGGUCGGGAGGAUCCUAGUGUAAUCCCCAGUAGAAUUGGCACUUAGCUCUUGACUGGAGGUGCUGUUCUUUAUUCGUAAAUAAAGGUCGGCCUGGAAUUGAAAGUUGUAUACAUCUAUAUGCUCACUAAGUAGCUUUUAGGUCGAGCAUACCCACAGCCGAAUUAGUCAGUAGGCAAGGGAAAUCCGUGAAUAAGUCCCAAGGUAAGCCUCCGAAUAAUACAUGGAAGACUAUAUAGAAGCAUAAGCUGUGGAAGUGUACUUAGCGGUCGGUCUAUUCCUUUUCCUUUCGCUCAAGUAUUUCACUUGAAAAAGCAAAAUGGAACCUCCUUGAGCGUUAGCCACUUUCGAUACCCAGAUUGCCUAAGCCCAGAGACACACUUUAGCUUUGCUCUGACCUUUCCUUGAAUUGAAAUUGGUUGGAAAACACUCUGAUGUGCUCUAGCUGCUAGAUCCUCUUCAUCUGAACACCGAUCGCCAGGUACGCAGUGAACGAGUAUAGAGUAUUUUCUAGUAAAGAAGGGACUCUAUGCAUUCCAUGAGAUGGACCGAUCUCUUGUGCUUAUACGAUUCCUUAGGAUUCCUUGAACGCUAAUUAGCAUUCAUCAGAUCAGACUUAUGAGUGCUAUCAUUCCCCCUGCCCUGAGAUUGGGGACUUUCUAGGCUUACUCGCUAUGCUACCCUUCUCUUUGCACAACUCGUAAAGAUGAGAUUCCCCGGCAUAGGAUCUCGAAGUGAUUUGAUCAUUUAGACUCUUUACUCAAUUCCUGGCCAUGUACUGAAAUUGGAGCGAAUAUCCAACAUCCUACGAUCCAAGAUAGAGUCUUAUCUCGAUAACAUAUACUUUGCUUUGAAAGCACUAGCCUUUUAUCAGUCUUUUACCUUUGACCGAGGAAUGGCACUCAUCCGAGUUACCAGAGAGAGCUCAUCUUUCUACGAAAACACUUGCUUAUAUGUUCAUAAGAUCUUCCCAGAUAUGAUUGAUUAUAUAUAUUAUAUAUAGUACAGGCCAACCCAACUUCGUGAAAAGUCUAGCAACUUUGCGAGCUAGAUGAAAGAACGAGGGGCUGAUAUAAAGAUAUAAAAUGACUCGACCAACAACUUACUAAACAAGCUGACUUACUUCAAAAGCAAAGAAUUCGAUCUUUGUGGUUUGGGAUGGAUGUGUAUUGUAUAAAAACGAACCUGGAAUCUGGUCUCGGUAAUCUGACCUCGUCGGUUAUUCCAUUCCUCCAUUUCCAACACUUGAGUUUGGAUGCCCGGGGAAGGUUCUUUUCUGGUAUGUAUAGGAUAAGUAAGUGACUCAAACUUGAGGCUAGGAAUCUACAAGAAUUAUAUGAUUUACCUUCAAGGAUUGCGACAGAAGGGAUGUGCCUAGUCAUCAAGCUAGCUUCCCUCCGUGGAAGAAGAUAAUCCUGUGAAUGGCCCAGAAGGUCUCUCUAAAUCGGGAUGUUAGAAGCGAAGAUAUAGCUAGCAAAGCCUGAAAAGCAUCUGACGAAAGAACCGGGCAUCACAUCAGCUCACUUGCCUUUCUUUCCUUUGAAAAGGGAUCGGCUUUUAUUUGACCCAGGUCCCUUCACUCACUUGAGGAUUAAUAAAACAGUGGGUGGGGAGUACCUAAAAACAUCUUUGGAAGUCACUGACCCCAGAUUGCAUCUUUUCCGGUUAGCCUGUCUCCACAGCACAGCAACUCUUAGGUAGGAUUCUUUUCGAUGUCACAUACUAAGAGAACUCGAGUCUUCCUCAGUCGAUCGAACAGAACAGCACUCCGGCCCAUCUUUUUAUUGAUCCUACUCAGGCAUAAAAAAACACCCUAUAUCUCAAAUAAUCCCCGGUGUUUUUGUUUGAUAUCAUGAAUAGAGCUAACAAACCGGAAUUAUCUGUCCUUCACUACUGGAUUUGAUUACUCGCUAGUUCGUUUAGUACGUUUGCUAAUCUUACCACUGGCUUUAUCUCCUCUCACCCAGAUUCAUAUACCAUCCAGCAAUUUCAGGGGAAUGAGCUAGAUCACAACAAAGAACAAAUAUACUAUAAUGAAACACAUGGGCCUUCCACUGCCUGCCAGCUAAAGCUGUAUAUCUAUGACUUUACUGGGUUAGGAUCUUCUAUUGGCUCAUUUGACUACAAAUUGGAUUACUUAAAGUUAGCUAGCAGUAUCUCUCUAUCCCCUUCGUCAUUCUACAAAUAAGGAUGCGGAAUCUUCCUAUGUGGUCAUAAAAGCAAAGAUCGCCCACUAAGCUAUCAGCGAACACAGUACCCAACAUCUUUCCUCUGCUCCGGUAAGCUUACCUCGCUUCGAAUGGGCAUUUUCGAUCCAAGAGUCAAUAAUUUCAGUAGUAAGCAUCAUAAUGGAAUUCCACUCCAUAUUAAGAGUUGUGCAGCACCAACCUAUUCUCUUUCUUAGUGCCAACACAGACGAAACUCGAGAUGAAACAAGAACUGGGCAUUCUGCAGCUGACAAUGCUCGAACUCCCCUUUAAGAACCGCUUACUGAGGUGGACGUUACACUUGGUAUGUAUCUAAGUAAAUAUACUGCAUCCUAAAGACGACUUAGAUCACUUAGCGCCGAAGAAGCACGCAAGGACUCUACUCAAGCUAGAAGAAGAUACCUCGUAUCAAAGCCAGUAAUAGCUGAGGAGACUCCUCCUGUUGAUUCUAUAUACGACCUACGACAACUAAGAUCAAGUUCCAAAGUCAUAGCAGCAGGCAAAACCCCUGUGACAAAUACUCCGUGAACUGAACCCUUAUAUUUCCUUCCUGCUUCGUCAACAACACCUUUAGACUUCCAUGCUCCAGCUGAAGUACUUCCCGCUUCCACACCAGUAAUGGAUUCUUCUCCACUGAGCAAGACUUAACGGAUGACUUGAGAACUAAGGAAUGAAAGUGAGUAGUAUCAGUUUUAAGCAGAGGCACAACCAACGAGUAAAGCCUGAGAAGUAGCUCAAUGUAAUCG